CCCCUGAUGGUCUAGUUGGAUAUGGCGUCCGGCUGUAAUGGCAUAUACCUGUGUAACCGGAAGGUCGCCGGCUCGAUUCCGGCUCGGGGGA
rnacentral:tRNA from 2 species